CCUCCCCACGGGUCGAUGCGCUCACAGGCAGCCCACAGAAACAAUCCAUCGCCACCCACCCACGACUCCCUCACCCCGGCUAGGGUUCCUAGCCCCUCCUCCUCAGCCGCCGCUGCAUGUUCCUCGCUGGCCUCGCCCGGGCACCUCCCGGACCUCGCCGGGAGAAGCCAGCCAACGCCGCUUCCGACCUCGCCGGGAGAAGCCAGCAGGACCCCGCCGCCAUGCCUCCCUCUCCCCCUUAUCCUCUUUUCCGCUACCUAUCUCUUUCCUCUGAACCUGAUUGGGGUGCUGCGACUGGCCUCCACUCCAGAUCCGUCCGCCUUUGAUCCCGUAUCCUCCCUGGCUCCCUCCCGACGGGAUCCGACCUCGACAACUGCACACGGGUGCGACGGGAUCCACCACUCUAGCGAGCAGGAGUAGCACGGUGGCUGUGGUCUGCUCAGACCCCCGACUGACGACGUGAGGCGUGCGGUGGUCUGCAGCAAGGAUAUCCUUCCAUGGCUGGACGCACUCUUCAUCUAAAUCAUGUCUCUAAACAUGCUGCCGUUAAGGAGCAGUUUCAUCUUGAGCACCGCAGUCAUGCAUGCUACUCUCAUCGACUAAGCACUUGCUACUAACAUAAAUAAUGCCUCCUACGCUGGACAUCACUACUAAAGAGGUACUGUCGGUGAGUAUCACUGUUUAGUUUUUUAUAGUCUAUAGAUUUAUUUAUACGGACAGUGCAGAUUCAUCUAUUACUUCGGCUAAUGUGACUGUAGCAACAUUCACUCCAUCUACAAUAUUCAUUUUGUUCACCUGAACAUUGAAUUAAGGAAUACAGAAGGUUCAGGGUUUAUGCAAAUUAUUGAAAUUUAAUAUUUGUGGACAAUGGAGAAACACAGGCGGCAGUGUUGAAUUUACACCCGUUGUUGCACCUGCAUCUUUUCGGCAUCCUUAGCACGAUAAGCCCAAACACGAAGAUUAUAUGCCGCCUUGGAUUUGUGUGGCUGUUAACUUGUUGUCAUCAAACACUUUUUUUCCUUAAUAUGUGCAGCUUUUUUGGGCCGUCCAUGGAUGCAAAGGAAUCCCAUGAGUACAAUGUACACUGACAUCAUCUUCAUCAAAUUCUUCAAGCUCAGCAAGUGUGAGGUAACUAAUGCAUGUGUAUUAUCUAUUUCAUCGAAGUGUAAGAUUUCUCCUCUUCUCUUGUUUGUGUUCAAUGGUUGUUGUGGUUUUUUGUUUUGCGUUUCAACAGUGACAUGUAUCCUGAUUAGGCACUUGCAUAGGUACUGUGUAGAGCUGGAACUUCUAAUAAAAAAUGACAUAUGCAGUGAAGCAAAGGAGAGAGACUGCAACCUUUUCAGGCCUGAAUCUAUCCCCAUUCUGAAUCUACUUGGUUAUUGAUUCUCAUUUUCAGCAUAUGAAAACCAAAUGCUAUUUUUUUUCUAUGCUCUCCUCUUCGGCUCUUCCUUUAUGAUUCAGCAUAUGCUAACUGCUACUGUAGCUUUCAUGCUUAUAUCCUUGGUUAUAUUUUACAGCGAUCCAAAUCAAGGAUUUGUGUUGAUAUCCGAAGUUCCUAAUGACGAUUGGUUCUUAUUAGUUUCUUUAAAGGAAGAACAACAAGUGGUUGUACUAGGAAGAUUACCUUGACAUGGGAGUUUCUUUUUUCUAACGAACAAGGGAGUCUUUAUUAUUUCACUUGAAAAGAUGAUGUACGCAUUUAAAGUGUAGAAUUUCCAUUUGUAUAUUCAUAUUGUGCUUAACUUUUACUUUCUAAAAAUCAAUAUUGGCUGGCGGUUUGGCCGAUUAUUUAAGAAAUAAAAACCUUAGGUGUUGAUCCCUUUGAUCUCUAGCCAUAUGACUUCCCAUUCAAGAUAUGACAGGGCAUGGAUGUGAUACACCCACAUACAGAGAUGUGGAGGUGUAAAGUUGGGACGAGCAGGCUUGUAGAUGAAGUGUUUGUACUUAUGGCUCAACAAAACUGACUACUCUAGCCUUGCCCCCAUUAGUGUAGUGUUAUUAUCGUCCGUCCCAUGUUUUGUUGAAAGAUCUUCCAGAUUCAUGACCCGCCUUAAAAAAUGUACAAUGCAAAUACAACCAUUUAUCGUUACAGGUGAGGGAUUUAGUGCAGAAAGUUACUUUACAAGUAGUCUCAAGCUGGAGGAUAACAGAUUGGUUGAGACAUUAGGGAUCCCCAUCAAUGUUAUAUUAUUUGUCUGCAGGUAUAUUCUCAGCUCCAAAUUCUAGAUAUUAUAGUGAGUAGAUGAGGUGAAAGUAUGCGCAACAUAGUUCUGCGGUGUUAAACCCCACGUAGCACGAUGGUGGUUGUAUGCUGCCAUGGAGGAAUUAAAGGCGCAUGUUGAUUAAAAGAAUAGGUGUAAGUAAGGAGUGGUUGGGCUCACUAACAUUGUCGAGUAAUCUCAUGAUCUGCUCAUGAUUAAUUUAGUAGCCCAAUUUGUUUUCUCAAAAGGUACAGUAUUGUUAUGGUAAAAGCUACACUUUGUGGCCUCAAAUAGAAUUCAGUUUUGUAGAUUGAUAUCCAUUAGAAAAAAAUAUAGAUUUAUUUCUGAUUCUGUCAUAUUAAUUAACUUGCUUCAGAAACAGAGAAGAGCCAUGGUUUGUUGUUGCUUGAGAUGCAUAUGUCGGCAAUGUUGUAAAAGGACAGACCCAGUGCAUAGAAGCUCCCACACAAGGUGGGGUCUGGGGAGGGAUUAUAGGAACCUAGUCUUACCCCUGCAAAGUGCAAUGCAGAGAGGCUGGUUCGAACCCAGGACCUCUUGAUGUCGGCAAUGUUGUGUUUUCUUAUUUUAUAAAGGUUGUUGUUGGAUGAGCCAAACAGUGGAAAAAGUGGCUUAUGGGACAAUUUUAGUUCAUUGGAUCAAUUGUAGAUAUCACGUGCCAUUUUUAUGUUCACGUCGUCAUUAGAUCAGUUGUAGAACAGCCCACACAGCUUGUGUUCUUUUCAAAACAAACAUACCCUGAUACAUGACAAAGUUGUAGCGUUGAUCUCAAAAUUAUGCUUCUAUGGUGUACAAUAUACACUAUAGACCUAAGAGCGGGUAGCUUCAGCUUGCUUCUGUAGUAUGCUUUCUCAAUGAUAAUCUAGCCCAUGCUUGAUUAUAUUACAGAUUAAUCCUGUUGAAAGCUAUAUUAAAUCCUACUUUUGAAAGCUAUACAUUUAGAUAUUUUGAUUUUUGUAAUGUUCUGCAUGCAUUUUUACUCAGGAUAAUGUCGCAUUGGAAGCGUGGUUAUACUUGACAAUUAGCAGGUAGAUGCGAGCAGGUAGGAUGGGAUAUUUCGCCGACGGCCAGGUGGAUGAUAAGACCGAAGAGGAAGGCCGCACCAGGCAUGCAUAGAUGAUGCAUGCCUCUGCACAUUUGUGGUGGAAUGGUGCUAGCUUGAGGCAAUUACGCAUAGUCUUUUUGGACAGGUUGUCGACAGAGAAAAAUAUAUAAUUUGGCGUGAGGAAUAACAUAGCCAGGCAUGCUGGUACUAUAAGUUGUGUUACAUAGAAACAAAAUUUGUUUGUUUGCUUGAGUGAAUAUGUCUAAUGUAUACACAAAGAUUCAAUUAUGUGUUUCAAAUUUGAAGUAUGUGGUUGUUUCAGUGCUAGAUACAUCAGUUUGAGCGCCAACUAAUUCCGGACGAAGGAAGUACAUGACAUCCCUCUUAACGGAAUAAAAGGCCACAACUUCACCACAUAUAUAGUGUAACUAAAUCUCAUGUUUCAUGCUCUGACUUAUGUACUAAAUUCUAUUAACAUGGCUACAGAUUUUUUGGUUGUAUUUAAUAUCCCUCUAUAACAUCUUUAGUUAUCAAACAUGCCAGCAUUCACGUGAAUGUUGGUAAAAUAUUCCUGUCCAUUUUGGUUCAGUAUCAAUUAAUGUAUUUUUCAUUAGAUAAUAGGCAGUGUGGGUGGCGGAAUGGCAAGGAGUCCGAUCAGAUGUCUUGGGUCCGUGGGGAGUUGUGGCUCUCAACUACAACAACAUCAUCAAGGCAACCUAUAUUGGUUGAUCAAUUGCUAACAGCCUAACACAGCAUGUUUUGAAUUGCAUUUAUUUCUGAUUAAAAGUAGCAGUUUCUGCUGUUGUAUUAAGAUUUCAACGAGAAUCUAGAAUUGGCUCUAAGGGAGCAAGGGUGUUCGGCGCCUGGAGGAGCUUUCAUGUUCAAGGAUCUCGCCCUCGCCGUCGAGACCAACGGGGUCGUCGCCGAGUACAUCUGGAUGACAUGAAGCAUUUGGCACCGACGCUCACCUCUUUGACAAGCCAUGCUUUCUGGGUUUGCUUGCAGUUCAGGUUUGGUCACUUGAUUUCCUGCCCAACUCCUCUAAUAAUCGAGUAUGAUCAACUAAUCCAUGUUUGUUUUACCUUUGCAUAAUUAUUUUGAGAAUGGGGUGAGCUGCGCCCAUGGUAGCCCACUGUCAUAGCCUGGCAAUAUGCCACUGAAAUUGCCGGAAUAGAAAACAUGUCCACAAUCAGACAUGUCUAUGUCAGUUCCUCUACUCUCCAGCUUAAGACCAUAAAUGGGAGGCAAACUCACCUUCAUAUGAACAAGCACAUGCCCACAUUCACCUUUCUGUAAAUGGGAGACAUUAUACUCUUUUUAUUAUUAGCUUAGUCUUUGUUGACCUGAAGAAGUAGCUUACUUCCGAACACAUAUGUCACUAGAAUAACAAGGUGAAAUCUUGAUUUUUCUUGCUACAAAGAGAUGGCAUCAUAAUUAAAUUUCAAUAUCAUCAAUCCAAUCACGAAUCCUGAUUUUUUAUUUUUUGAAUACGCGAAUAAAUUCACUUUUGGUCCGUUUGGUAACUUUCUAAUUGCCUUCUUACACCCCAUGGCGGAUAUGUGUAUGAAAUUGUGAUCGGCUAUAAACAUGAAAAAUUACGAAUCAAAUAGUAGACCGUACUUCAUGUGUGCAUUGAGAGGAGGCGUAAGGAUCACGUGAUAUAUACCAUUUCAUAUAUCACGGUAACAAAACACGCUGUGGUGGUCGCCCUUGGAUGACGGCGUGCAUUCCAUGGCACUGGGAAAUCGCACUAGGAUGGCGUAGAGGGGGAGGGCGACACUAUGGAUAGAAGGAGACACGACACUGGAAUUUCGUGGCGCUCCUUGAUGCCAACAACAUCAGGGAGGAGAGAAGCUAGGGGGAUCAGAUAUGAGUUUGAGCAUUGUUGUGGAAUGCGAUAUGAGGGUGAGCAUUGUGCCAUACGAUGAGAGAAGGAGAGAGUGAAUUGCUCUUUUAGAAUAAAAAGAAAAGGAGCGACACUUUUUUAGGGAAAACGUUUGACUGCUAUGAGAGAAAUGUCACAUACUUUUAUAUAGUGAUAUAGGGAAAGCGGUAGUUUGGUGUGAGAAAAAUGUCACAUAUUUUAAUAUAGUUGAAAACAUCAGAUACCCUUUUUUGCGGAGGGAAAACAUCAGAUACACUAACAAGUCAUGUUUAGAAUGGAACGGACCAAAAAAGUAUCGAGUUUUAACAAUCAUAAGAGAUGCAUACAAAUAAUGGUUCUUAAUAUAUUUGUUACGCAUGAUAAUACAAAAGGUGUGUUUAUAUAUAUUCUUAAUAUAUUUAUUUAUUUUUGUAGUGUAUAAGAGAGAUAAAGAUGGAUUAUGUCGACAUUCAAAAAAAUCCCAUAGGUGACAUUGGUGUAGAGGUGAUGUCGCUGAAAGAGGUAAAAAAUUCACUGAGAUUUACACAACAAAAGGCCCGUUGGCCUAGGGUUAAGUAAUGGGGCAUUUUAGUUAAUCAUGCGGGCCUAGGGUUUUCUAACUCAAAGAAAAGUCAGGGAAUCCAUCAGUUAAAGUCUGGCUUCAAUCCAAACACGCUGUCAGACUUUUAGGCCAUGGGAUCAGUAAAUCGAGAAGGAGAGAGGCCUUUGACUUUCCAGCCAUGACCUCGCUAGAUCGAGAGAGAGGAAGAGAUCAGUCAGGGGUGGCGGUGGCUCAGGAGCGCGAGUGCGGCGGAGGCCAUAGGGCAUGAGCGAGCAUGGAGAAGGGACCAGAGGUAGGAUGCGGAAGGUGGAGCAUCAUCCGUGGUGCGACACCGUGCGGCAGUCGUCUGAGGUGUCGUGCAGGUGGAGCGAGGCCGUUGGGAGUGAUGAAGGGCAGCGUAGGCAAAGGAGAUCCCAUGCAAAUUAAGAAUGAAACGUUGAUUGGUAUAUGACAAUCUGCUUUUCUUUCUGCUCUACAUUUUUAGAAACUCUGUACGAAACUGGUGCACAUUGGUUCUGGGUUGGUAUAUUUCCUUAUGUAGCCUUUGUACGGGUAAAUCAGACAGAGAUGGGGACUAUAGGUGGCCUCUCUUUUUACCCAACACUGUUAUUGUUAAUGAGUCUAACAGUGAACUGACUACAUCUCCACCUUUUCACCUUUGUUACAGAGAUUCUCAAAGGUACAAAAUAUUACGUCGGCACUUUAAGUCUCCCAUUUUGAUUGCCGUGAUUUGCAAUUUCUUUGUGGGGGCAGUAGUAAGCUCUCGUGCCAUUACGUUGUUGCCAGGUGUUCUCCUGUGAUUGUUCUAGCGAAGGUUCUCGAAAACGGCAUAGCCAUUUAUGUUGCUUCUAUUAGGUGUGGCUGACAUUGAUGGGGGCAAUUUGGGCACACGAAAGUCCCUUAAAAUCGAGACAAAUCCUACGUUGGAACCAUCUCAAUGUUCUUUGCCAGCUUCGUCGCAUUGAGCCUGUGUAUAUACUAUUCGAUCUUGAAGCCCCAAGUCAUUUUCUGUUCCCAUGAUUAUUUAGCAAAUGCAGAAAACAUUUUCGAUUAUAUUAUAUGUACAUUGUUGGGUAGUAGUUUUUCCCACUAGAUCUGAAUAUUAGAAAGGAUAUAUCUUGUAGCUGGUCAGACUCAGAAUCAUGUCAUGAUCUCUUAAGGGCCUAAUGAUUGUUGUUGUUUUUUCCUUUCAAAAAUUAAAACUCCUAGGUGAUUAUCAUAACUAUCAUAAUUGUACAAGCAAGAUUAUCAGAAUAACUAAGCAACUAUUUCUUCGGAUUAAGUACAGAGUUUAGGGUGUUUUUUUUUUGCAGAUUUAUAGUGCCUAUUUUUUUAGGAGAUUUAUAGUGCCUAUUUUGAAUCAACAAGGACAAUGAUAUUGCAAGGCUUGAAAUUUUAGACUCACUUUUUAUGCCAAGCUGGAAAAUUGAUAUGUCUUAUGAUUAUAUAUGCAACCAGUAUUUUUUUUUGAAAUGCCAGUGGCAACGCAUCUGUUACACCUUUGGCAUGAAAUUUUCAUACUAAUUACAUAUAUUGUUUGUGCAGGAUAGGUAUGAGUUGAGGAAGCGGUUUUUAUUAUACUUGCUAAAACAUCGUGGGAAUGAAGCUAAAGGCAACUUUCCUGAUAUUGUGAAAGAAUUUCUUAAGCGCAUCAUCUAGAUAUUGAUAGUUUUGUAAUAGAUGUUUAGUUGGAACAUCGCUUAGUUUGUUACAUGGACAUGUUGUUAAUUUUUCUUUUUCUUAUCAAUUUACAUUGCAAAAAUGGACUUCAAUUAUUCAAUAAUUAUGUUUGUGUUA